AGGUCCAGCGGCGGGGGACUCGGCCGUGGAGGGCGCUGUUCGGUCUGGAUGGCUCCCCCCAUCAGCGGGAGGCUACACCCCCCACCAGCAGGGGCAAGAGGAGCAGCGGGAUGGGAGCAGGCCAACGUCCUGCGGCCUGGUUGAGCUCGCACUGACAAUCGCACAGUAACCCGCAGGUCACCGCGCUCCCCACCUGCGUUGCUGACGGUGACAUCGUCAGGGGAGGGGGGCGCGCCUUCCCAGAGGCUCAGGUCGCGAGGGUAGCCGGGGUCCGGGCGCGCCGCCGCCUCGUCGUAGCGCCAGUACUGCCGGCCGCGGACCACAGCCGUGCGGGUCGCGGGGACACCAGCUGUCCGGAGGGCUGGAGGCGCCAGAACCAGGGGCCUGCAGGGGACAAAGGGGUUCGCAGGAAGGCAUGAGACAGCAGGAGGUCUCCUCCCCCAGGGUGUGUGGCUGGGUGGGGAGGGGUCCCAUCUGGAAAUCAAGGGCGCAAUGGAUCUAGGGUGACCAGCCCAUCCUGGCCCGCCUGAGACUUUUCCCUUUUUAGCGCUAAAAGUGCCAGGGCCUUGCCUGGUGGCUCAGACCUGUAAUGCCAGCACAUUGGGAGGCUGACACCGGAGAAUCACCUGAGCCAGGAGAUUGAGCCCAGCCUGGGCAAUAUAGUGAGACUCCAUCUCUACAAAAUAAUAAAAUAAAUUACUAGCAAGGCGUGGUGGCAUGUGCCUGUGGUCCCAGCUACCAGGGAGGCUGAGGUGGGAGGAUCGCUUGAGCCCAGUAUUUUGAGGCUGCAGUGAGCCAUGAUCACACCACUGCACUGCGGCCCAGGCAACAAAGCAAGACCCUGUCUCAAAGAAGAAAAAAGUUCCGCUUCCAGGGUAAGCCCACAGCCCCAGUGGGUCACUGGAAGUGGGCAGGAAACCAACAUAUAUGAGGCCAAGUGAAAUGACUCACCUUUGAAGAAGAAAGUUUCCCCUCGGAUGUUGGCGAUGGCGUCAAAAUUGCCCUCACAUCGAUCAGGGAUGGGGAAGGAUGGGCUGGGGAGGAAAGGAGAGAGUUGCUGCAGGCCAUCGCGGUCAUCCUGAGACAGGCGGUACUUGUCAGGGUCGCCCACCGGACCCUGGUAGAAGGGCCUCAUAAUGGAGUUGGGGGCUGAGGAGUGGCCCAGGCCCAGGGCGUGGCCAAACUCAUGGACAGCCACGGCAAACAGCUCAGGCGCUCAGGACUGCCAGGACCCAGAGGAUUCACACGCCAGCCCCGGCUGAAGCCCAGCUCCUCAUCAACCGGUGAGCCGCCUGCCAGCUCCUGCUCCAGCUGCUGAGAGGCCUGAAGAGACCAAGACAGAGACACAGCCCCGCAGCACCACAGGGAGGCCCCAGUUACCCCAUGCGGAUGAGUUUC
rnacentral:lncRNA from 10 species